CCUACGGGUGGCAGCAGUGAGGAAUAUUGGUCAAUGGCCGCAAGUCUGAACCAGCCAAGUAGCGUGAGGGAUGACGGCCCUACGGGUUGUAAACUUCUUUUAUGUGGGGAUAAAGGUGUCCACGUGUGCCUGGUUUUAGGUAUCGCAUCAAUAAGGGCCCGCUAAUUUUGUGUCAGCAGCCGCGGUAUUACGGAAGGUCCGGGGGUUUUCCGGAUUUAUUGGGUUUAAAGGGAGCGUAGGCCGGUCUUUAAGCGUGCCGUGAAAUUUUGCGGCUCAACCCUGUGAUUGCAGCGUAAACUGGAGACCUUGAGUGCACAGAGGGCAGGCGGAAUUCAUGGUGUAGCGGUGAAAUGCUUAGAUAUCACGAAGAACCCCGAUUGCGAAGGCAAGCGGCCGCAGCGCUACUGACGCUGAGGCUCGAAAGUGCGGGUAUCAAACAGGAUUAGAUACCCGUGUAGUC
rnacentral:rRNA from 1 species